GAUGAACGCUGGCGGCGUGCCUCAAACAUGCAAGUCGAGCGGGGCUAUGUAAUAUCGCAAGGUAGAACAUAGCCUAGCGGCGAACGGGUGAGUAACACGUGGGUAACCUGCCUGGAAGACAGGGAUAACGAUUCGAAAGGGUCGCUAAUACCUGAUAAUAUCCUUUCAUCGCAUGGUGAUAGGAAGAAAGGGGAAACCCGCUUUCAGAUGGGCCCGCGUCCCAUCAGCUAGUUGGUAAGGUAAAGGCUUACCAAGGCGACGACGGGUAGCCGGUCUGAGAGGAUGUACGGCCACACUGGGACUGAGAUACGGCCCAGACUCCUACGGGAGGCAGCAGUUGGGAAUCUUAGGCAAUGGACGAAAGUCUGACCUAGCGACGCCGCGUGAGGGAAGAAGGCCUUCGGUUGUAAACCUCUGAACUAGCCGAAUAAAAGGACCUGUGGACACACAGGAGAAGAAAGUAGGCUAGGAAAAGUACCGGCUAACUACCGUGCCAGCAGCCGCGGUAAAAGUACUACU
rnacentral:rRNA from 1 species